rnacentral:rRNA from 1 species
AUUGAACGCUGGCGGCAGGCUUAACACAUGCAAGUCGAGCGAGCGGCGGACGGGUGAGUAAUGUCUGGGAAACUGCCUGAUGGAGGGGGAUAACUACUGGAAACGGUAGCUAAUACCGCAUACCAUCAGAUGUGCCCAGAUGGGAUUAGCUAGUAGGUGGGGUAAUGGCUCACCUAGGCGACGAUCCCUAGCUGGUCUGAGAGGAUGACCCGCCACACUGGAACUGAGACACGGUCCAGACUCCCACGGGAGGAAGCAGGGGGGAAUAUUGGCCAAUGGGAGCAAGGCUGAUGCAGCCCAGCCGGGGGUGUGAAGAAGGCCUUCGGGUUGUAAAGCACUUUCAGCGGGGAGGCGUUACUCGCCGAAGAAGCACCGGCUAACUCCGUGCCAGCAGCCGCGGUAAUUC